AUUGUCUUUGGACAAAGGGACAAUAGCAAAAGUGAUUCUAGAAUAGACGUGAAAAGUGCUCAUCACAGGGGCUUGCUCUCUUAUGCUCUAGGAACCCACAAGCCCAGGCUAGCCUGCUGGAGGAGGAGAGACACAUGGCCCAGUUGCUUUCUUCACUCCAGUCAACAGCCAGCAAAUGCCCAGGAAACAGAGCCACCUCGCUGACAUGAGGCUGACUGCAGGCCCAGGAGUGAGCCCAGCCAUGGCCAGCAGAACUGCUCAGCCCAAAUCACCAACCUGCCAAUCCUAGAAUAACCAGGCAAGAAUCUGGACAUUGGGUGGAUCACAAAGGAUGGUGAUGCGAGAGAUGGGAAAACCACAUGAACUCCACGACAACCCCAGCUCACAGCCUAGAAAAAUGUUUCCAGGCCACAGUACAGACAAAGGGAACCCAGGUGGAGCCAGGGAGCUUCUGAGUUGAGGAGACACAGCAGAGUCCCAGGAGAUCAAGGUGGCCAGAGUUCUUAGGACAGAGUACUGGGGAGGAGAGAGCUGCACAGAGAGCCUCAGAGAUGUGCAGAGGGUGCCCCUCAAGUAUUCAGCAGUGUACUCAUCAGCUCGUGCGUGUGAUGAAACCACCCGAGGUCCUUCUGAAAGGAGGAGAGAACAGUGCCCAGGACUCACACAGAGCCAGAAACAGUGCCCGCUGCCUCCAGCUAGACUGGAAUUGAGUAGAAUAUGCAGGAAGGCCAUGCCUCAAUAGUGGGGAAUAAUUGGUCCUAGACAGAACACUCCUCUGGAGGUCCCUAACAAAAGCAAGACCUAAAAGGAUCAGACUGUUUCCAAAUAAUUGCAUCCAAGAAAAGCUAACUGACGUAGAAACUAAAACAUAUGAGUGCUCGUGAUAUUCCAG
rnacentral:lncRNA from 1 species